CCAUAGCUCAGUAGGUAGAGCAUGAGACUCUUAAUCUCGGGGUCAUGGGUUUGAGCCCCACAUUGAGCGA